AAGGGCACCACAAGAACGCGUGGAGCAUGUGGCUUAAUUUGACUCAACGCGGGAAAUCUUACCGGGUCCGGACACACUGAGGAUUGACAGAUAUAUGCGCACACUCUCUCUCGGGAGGUGCUUGCGCUUAAAGAUGCUAGUUCUUUCAUGAUUAUGUGAUAGGUGGUGCAUGGCCGUUCUUAGUUCGUGGAGUGAUCUGUCUGCUUAAUUGCGUAUCAAUAAUAGAGACCUAGUAUACGCGUAGACUCAUGCGGUAGUGACCCCCUUUGCUUUUAGUGAAGGCGCGUGUCGCACGUAUGUUAUACGCACAGGUCUCAGAUAGCAACGAACGUGACCGUACUCUAUUGUUGCAGUGAAAUAAAUGUGUGUCUUUCAUGGCACACACACCCACUGCUUAGUAUGCCGCGUACUUCGGUGCGCGGUCAUACAUUAAACUAUAGAGACCGCUGUUUCUUCUUUAAACCAGAGGAAGGAUACGGCAAUAACAGGUCUGUGAUGCCCUCAGAUGUUCCGGGCUGCACACGUGCUACAAUGAUCAUUGCACUGUGCAUCUAACCCAAUGUGCGCGGACACCAUAGUGCGUAUCAUGUGUUGUGUUGUGCUUCGGCGCUCACUCACUGUGAUACGUAUCUCUAAUGUGUGACCGCGCCGAACCUACUUCGAAAGUAAAAUUUUUAAGUGGGUAAUCCAUUAGAAGUAAUGACUCGCAUAGACCAUGGCACACUUAAUGUACGCGCAGGUCUACCCGGCUCAUCUUUGUAUGAGUGCAGUGCGUAGCUUGUUGUUUCGUACGUGCCACUCCGUAUUAAUUCGUACGUGGGGAUAGAUCAUUGUUUAAUUGUUGGUCUCGGUCUUAACUAGGAAUGCCUUGUACGGGUCUUUGGUUCAACAUACCACCCGGAAUACGUCCCUGCCCUUUGUACACACCGCCCGUCGCUCUUACCGAUGGAUUAUACUAUGAAUCUGUAGGACUGCCAAACGAUUUUUGUGUCUGCCUCGGCACACACAUGCGUUAGUGGAAAUAUAUAUGAAUAGUGUGAUCUAAAGGAAAGAGAAGUCGUAACAAGGCAUCGGUAGGUGAACCUGCAGAAGGAUCA
rnacentral:rRNA from 1 species